GGGGAUAUAGCUGAAUGGUACAGUAUUUGCCUACCAUGCAUAAAGCCCUAAGUUAAAUUCCCAGUAUAUACU
rnacentral:tRNA from 1 species